rfam:Naegleria gruberi genomic scaffold NAEGRscaffold_53, whole genome shotgun sequence.
CCCUUUGUAGUUCAAUGGUUAGAACGUGCGACUGAUCCACUCGCAAGAUUCAGGUUCAACUCCUGGCAGAGGGU